rnacentral:lncRNA from 1 species
AACCCCGUAAAAAUGUUAUCAAAGUACUAUUUUGCCUCUUCAUUUAUCAUGAGAUUAUUCUCAAUUUAAUAAAUACAGAAAAUAGUAUAUUUUAAUUUGAUAUUCCUUUCAAAUACUAAUAAGUCUACUUUCCUUCUGCGUUUACAACCAAAAAGUACUCUUCAUUAUUUUCUAUGGCCUUUAAGAUCUGUUAACAAACACAGAAAGCUGGUCUCAAAUGACCCAGAAACCAGGGAUGAGACAUGGCAGGAGAAACAUGCUAAUGGCCCUGCUCAGACAGAACCCACACCCACACCCGUGCCCAGAGGCGGGUCAGGGCAAGGCUGGCGCAGCCAAGCCCAAUACUGUUUUUUUUCUGUAGACACACGUGGACUCCCUUGCUGUCACGUGGCGGAGGACCUGAGAAUGGCCCCUCAGGUCAAGGUCACAUCAUGGCCGGGAGGAGGUCUUGUACCACCCGUGCAGAAAGACUAAUACUCACCUGCACGUGACCACUCGAGCUUUUCUACAGCCAGCCUCCUCCAGGUUCUUAAAAGUGAAAACACUGCUUGGUGUCCUAUUUCUUUGGGGCUAAUGGAAAAUGCCUGCCUACCUAGACUUAUUUUCAUUUUCUCUCAAAAAAAAAAAAAAAAAAUCCUUGCACUUGCAGUUUUCUCAAAUCAUCCUAGGCACAUAGAAAAUAUUUUCAAUUAAAAGUAUCUGAUGUUAGAGGUUAGGGGACUACAGUGGGUUUUUAAAGAACUUUAUUUUGGAUUAUUGUUUAUCUACCAUCCUGAUUAGAUCAUGGAAUAAUUUAGUAUGCUUUUACAUAUUUUACAAAUUUACCGUUUCCAAUAGUUUCUAGUUUUAUUUAAGCUGAACCACAUGCCAUGAUCAUUUCUAGGUCAACGAUGCUGAAUAUCAGCAAUUUCAUAUGGCUCCAUCUGGUUACACUGUGAUUAAGACAUAAUGUUCUUGGAGUUCCCGUCACGGCGCAGUGGUUAACCAACCUGACCAGGAUCCAUGAGGAUGCAGGACUGAUCCCUGGCCUCGCUCAGUGGGUUAAGGAUUUGGAGUUGCCCUGAGCUGUGGUGUAGGCUGCAGACACGUAGGUUGCUAUGGCUGUGGCAUAGGCCAGCGGCUACAGCUCCAAUUCAACCCCUAGCCUGGGAACCUCCAUAUGCUGCGGGUGUGGCCCUAAAAUAGCAUAAAAAAAGAAAAAAUAAGAAAAAAGAACUCAUGUUCUUUCCUUUGAUGAAUGGGUUAGGCUAGCAUUUGGUUAAAACAUCCACUGUACCUUUCUUAUCUUCUGAUGCUCUCCCUGGUCCCGUUCCAACUUAAUAUUUAAUUUUUACUAAGAUCUCCCUGCCUCUUUCUCCUUCUCAUGCCGUAUAAUUCAACAAUUAUUUCAAUCUCUCCUGAAAAUACAGUUUAUAAAUAAAUGGGUUUCAGGUAGCUUCAGAAACAUUACCAAAUCACAGUACUACAAGCUUGAAAAGGCUAGAUCCGCCAUUGGAAGUAAGCAGGUGUUUUGCCUUUUCCUUCCUGAUCACUGAGCUUACAGGUUAAAGAAAGUCCUUUACAGACGAGAACAGUUUAAACCAGCAUCCCUCUCCCAGGAGACAGAAACGCUCUCUCGUUCUCCACACUGCCACCUGGUGGUUCUCCACACGAACCACGCCUCUUGCUCUGGCUUCCAUUCAUAACCCACGAGAGAGAAACAGAGCCCGGGUCUUGGCUUUGGCUCGCCCGGCCUUUGGAAAUCAUGAGCCUACACCGGCACACCCUGCAGACGCCCAGCCCUGACCACGCCUUCUGGAAUUUGGGGGGGUCUGUCUUCCAAAAACUCCAGUGAGGGUGUUCUGGGCUGUGACACUAUUCCAUGGGGCAGAUUUCUGUGGAUAUGUGAUUCUUUGAAGAGCUUUUCACUUGCUAACAACAUAUCCUCUAGGGACCUGCAGGGGACAGGUCUCCCAGAGGAACAGCUAAGCUGUCAACGUAUCCCUUGCCACCAAGGAGAGCCACUGCUUCACUGUGUUUCAAAUGCAAAGUUUGUGGGUAACACCGUGAUGGGAGUCAGGGAGCCCCAAGAGUGAAGCAACAAGAUUUCUUCAACACAUUUUUCAUCCAUAUGUGGAGCUUACAACUCUAGGUGUCAAAGGUAACUUAGCUGUUUUCUAGAACCGCCCAGUGGACUGGGCUGGAGGUCUGACUGUAAGAUUGACAAAAAGCCUCUUUGCUGUGACGCUUCAGAACGUCACUCACACCUCACUUUCUGCCAUCGAUUUUUUUUAAUAGUCGAGGAUUACAAAUCAUAAUAUUAGGGCAAAUGACCCAGAGGUGCUCUGUAUGUUCUCAUCACUGGGCCCAUUUUCCUGGGACAAAGGCUGGGAUGUUACGUUCGUGUGUCUUAGCGUGCUGACAAAAGUUUACGUCCCUCUUCAUUCUUCCCUCUCCUUCCUGUCCUUCUCUACACUGUCACCUUGUCAGGGACACGCUAUGUCAGCCACGUAAGAAUCUAAUUCAUUAGCCAAGAGCGAUGCAGAAGAGCUGUGCAAACUUAUAGCAAUUAAGAUGACUGGGUCACACUGUCACUAACUGCUACUGUCAGGGAAAAACUCGGGGAAGAAAUAAGUCUUGAGAAUGACCUCAGGCAUGUGGUAUAUAAAACUCAUUUACUUAGAGAUGCUGCAACCGUGGUGUGGGUUCGAUCACUGGCCAGGGAACUUCUACAUGGCUGCGAGUGUGGCCAAGAACCAACCAACCAACCAACCAAUAAAACCAGCCAAAAAGGAAAACCAACCAACCAGCCAACCAAACUUAACAAGAAAAAAUUUUACUAGCACCAUGGUGAUGGCUUAUUUGAACUUAAGUUCUCUUCCAGUGAUAAAAUGAAACUAAAAAUUUCUUACAGUUUAAACAUGUGUGAGCAUCUCCAACCCCUAACCAGCUACAGUCAGAUGAUACUGGCUUCAUCUUAAUUCAUGUGGACAGACUCCAUCCAUGAUGCCUCAUCGCAGAAAGCCCAUCACCUACUUACUGAGUAAACACACACGACUCACUGGCAGAGGCGCUGAGAGCGGACGACGACGUUUCCAUUGCUAGUGUUAUUCGGUACCGUGCAGAGGGCAGCGCAUCCACCAGGAGUGACACUG